rnacentral:rRNA from 1 species
CUACGGGGCGCUGCAGUGAGGAAUAUUGCACAAUGGGGGGAACCCUGAUGCAGCAACGCAGCGUGGAGGAUGACGCAUUGUGGUGUGUAAACUCCUUUUAUAUGUCAAGAAAAUGACGGUAGCAUAUGAAUAAGCACCGGCUAACUCCGUGCCAGCAGCCGCGGUGAAUACGGAGGGUGCAAGCGUUACUCGGAAUCACUGGGCGUAAAGGACGCGUAGGCGGGUUGGAAAGUCAGGUGUGAAAUCCUACAGCUUAACUGUAGAACUGCACUUGAAACUUCUAAUCUAGAGUAUGGGAGGGGGAGAUGGAAUUAGUGGUGUAGGGGUAAAAUCCGUAGAUAUCACUAGGAAUACCUAAAGCGAAGGCGAUCUCCUGGAACAUUACUGACGCUAAGGCGUGAAAGCGUGGGGAGCAAACAGGAUUAGAUACCCUCGUAGUC